rnacentral:rRNA from 1 species
AGUGAACGCUGGCGGUAGGCCUAACACAUGCAAGUCGAACGGCAGCACAGUAAGAGCUUGCUCUUACGGGUGGCGAGUGGCGGACGGGUGAGGAAUACAUCGGAAUCUACUUUUUCGUGGGGGAUAACGUAGGGAAACUUACGCUAAUACCGCAUACGACCUACGGGUGAAAGCAGGGGAUCUUCGGACCUUGCGCGAUUGAAUGAGCCGAUGUCGGAUUUGCUAGUUGGCGGGGUAAAGGCCCACCAAGGCGACGAUCCGUAGCUGGUCUGAGAGGAUGGUCAGCCACACUGGAGCUGAGACACGGUCCAGAGUCCUACGGGAGGCAGCAGUGGGGAAUAUUGGACAAUGGGCGCAAGCCUGAUCCAGCCAUACCGCGUGGGUGAAGAAGGCCUUCGGGUUGUAAAGCCCUUUUGUUGGGAAAGAAAAGCAGCAGGUUAAUACCCCGCUGUUCUGACGGUACCCAAAGAAUAAGCACCGGCUAACUUCGUG